rnacentral:rRNA from 1 species
GAAUUCGAUUAGAGUUUGAUCAUGGCUCAGGAUGAACGCUGGCGGCGUGCCUAAUACAUGCAAGUCGAACGAUCGACUUCGGUCGAUAGUGGCGAACGGGUGAGUAACGCGUUGGUGACCUGCCCCGAAGAGAGGGAUAACAGGCCGAAAGGCCUGCUAAUACCGCAUGAGCUAACCAAGGAUUAGGAGAUGGUUAGGAAAGGGAGAAAUCCGCUUUGGGAGGGGCCUGCGUCCCAUCAGCUAGUUGGUAAGGUAAAGGCUUACCAAGGCAAUGACGGGUAGGGGGCCUGAGAGGGUGACCCCCCACAAUGGAACUGAAACACGGUCCAUACACCUACGGGUGGCAGCAGUAGGGAAUAUUGGUGAAUGGGCGAAAGCCUGAACCAGCAACGCCGCGUGUGCGAUGAAGGCCUUCGGGUUGUAAAGCACUUUUCACCGGGAAGAGGAAGGACGGUACCGGUGGAAUAAGCCUCGGCUAACUACGUGCCAGCAGCCGCGGUAAAACGUAGGAGGCGAGCGUUAUCCGGAUUUACUGGGUGUAAAGCGCGAGCAGGCGGUGCGUUAAGUUGGGUGUAAAAGCUCCCGGCUCAACUGGGAGAGGUCGCUC